rnacentral:rRNA from 1 species
GAUCCAUGGGACGAUUUAGCCAUGCUAGUCGCACGAGUUCAGACUCGUGGCGAAUAGCUCAGUAACACGUGGCCAAACUACCCUUCGGAACACAAUACCCUCGGGAAACUGAGGCUAAUAGUGUAUACCAUACCACCACUGGAAUGAGUGGUAUGCCAAACGCUCCGGCGCCGAAGGAUGUGGCUGCGGCCGAUUAGGUAGACGGUGGGGUAACGGCCCACCGUGCCAAUAAUCGGUAUGGGUCAUGAGAGUGAGAACCCAGAGACGGAAUCUGAGACAAGAUUCCGGGCCCUACGGGGCGCAGCAGGCGCGAAACCUUUACACUGCACGACAGUGCGAUAGGGGGAUCCCAAGUGCACAGGCAUAGCGCCUGUGCUUUUCGGUACCGUAAGGUGGUACCAGAAUAAGGGCUGGGCAAGACCGGUGCCAGCCGCCGCGGUAAUACCGGCAGCCCAAGUGAUGGCCGAUCUUAUUGGGCCUAAAGCGUCCGUAGCUGGCCGCGCAAGUCCAUCGGGAAAUCCACCUGCUCAACAGGUGGGCGCCCGGUAGAAACUGCGUGGCUUGGGACCGGAAGGCGCGACGGGUACGUCCGGGGUAGGAGUGAAAUCCCGUAAUCCUGGACGGACCGCCGAUGGCGAAAGCACGUCGCGAGGACGGAUCCGACAGUGAGGGACGAAAGCCAGGGUCUCGAACCGGAUUAGAUACCCGGGUAGUCCUGGCCGUAAACAAUGUCUGCUAGGUGUGGCUCCCACUACGAGUGGGUGCUGUGCCGUAGGGAAGCCGCUAAGCAGACCGCCUGGGAAGUACGUCCGCAAGGAUGAAACUUAAAGGAAUUGGCGGGGGAGCACUACAACCGGAGGAGCCUGCGGUUUAAUUGGACUCAACGCCCGGACAUCUCACCAGCAUCGACUGUAAUAAUGACGACCAGGUUGAUGACCCUUGUCCGAGUUUCAGAGAGGAGGUGCAUGGGCCGCCGUCAGCUCGUACCGUGGAGGGCGUCCUUGUUAAGUCAGGCAACGAGCGAGACCCCGCCACCCUUACUGCAGCAGUACGCGGAGGUAGCUGGGGGACAGGUAGGGGGGAACCGCCCGGGGCCUA